rnacentral:rRNA from 1 species
CUUGAAGACGACGAGGUAGAUAGGGCAGAGGUGGAAGUGCAGUAAUGCAUGGAGCUGACUGUUACUAAUAGGUCGAGGGCAUAACCAAG